rnacentral:rRNA from 1 species
UACGUAGGGAGCAAGCGUUGUCCGGAAUCAUUGGGCGUAAAGCGCGCGUAGGUGGCUUCGUAAGUCCGUUGUGAAAGUCAAAGGCUCAACCUUUGAAUGCCGAUGGAUACUGCCGGGCUAGAGUCCGGAAGAGGCGAGUGGAACUCCUGGUGUAGCGGUGAAAUGCGCAGAUAUCAGGAAGAACACCCGUGGCGAAGGCGGCUCUCUGGGACGGUACUGACGCUGAGACGCGAAAGCGUGGGGAGCGAACAGG